CAAUGGUGAAAUGGGCCUCAGCGCUCUCCUUGGGGCCCAGCUCUGUGCCAGCAGGCCUGGGGUCUCCCAAGAUUUGUCAGCCUGGGUGGGGGCGUGGCGAGGAUGCACCUGGCUUUGCAGACCCUGCUGAGCAGCGUAAGAAAUCGGGGCCGAUCUUCUCCCGUGCCCCGGCUGGGUACCCCAAAGAAGGCCCCUAUCGCCCUAUUUAUAUUAUCCCGGACCAGACGGAGCCCUGCAUCUUUGCCACCGAGGUUUAAAAGUGGCCCCCCCAACCUCGGACCUGUGGCUCCGUCCCCCCCUGCCCCGCUAAAGAAUGUUUACAGAGACGCCUCCUCGGACGCCUGGAUCAGCGGCGGACGACGUACUAUUAUUUUUUAAUCUAUAGAUUAUAAAUAUCGACUCCUGUUUGUUUUCUCAAGAGAAAAAUAUUUAAUAUUUAUUCUUGCUGCUAUGUGAGUUGGGGGGUGCGGGGGGGACCAAGGGAACAGAGGAAGGUUUGGAAGGUGG
rnacentral:lncRNA from 1 species